AUUGAACGCUGGCGGCAUGCCUUACACAUGCAAGUCGAACGGUAACAGGUCUUCGGAUGCUGACGAGUGGCGAACGGGUGAGUAAUACAUCGGAACGUGCCCGAUCGUGGGGGAUAACGGAGCGAAAGCUUUGCUAAUACCGCAUACGAUCUACGGAUGAAAGCAGGGGACCGCAAGGCCUUGCGCGGACGGAGCGGCCGAUGGCAGAUUAGGUAGUUGGUGGGAUAAAAGCUUACCAAGCCGACGAUCUGUAGCUGGUCUGAGAGGACGACCAGCCACACUGGGACUGAGACACGGCCCAGACUCCUACGGGAGGCAGCAGUGGGGAAUUUUGGACAAUGGGCGAAAGCCUGAUCCAGCCAUGCCGCGUGCAGGAUGAAGGCCUUCGGUUGUAAACUGCUUUGUACGGACGAAAGACUACCUUCUAAUAAAGGGGUCGAUGACGGUACCGUAAGAAUAAGACACCGGCUAACUACGUGCCAGCAGCCGCGGUAAACACGAG
rnacentral:rRNA from 1 species